rnacentral:lncRNA from 1 species
GUGUCGCGGUCGUACCCUCCGCCCUCUGCGCCGAGAGCCGCUGCCGCCCGAGACCUUCGAGGGCUCCUCGCCCCUGCUUCCUGGGAGACCCUCUCCGCUGGGAGAGUCGCAGUCACGGAGCCGGGGGACACCUGUACGGGCAGGCGGCCGGCGAAGGCCCGGCCCGAGAGGAAGCGGGCCCCGAACGCCGCAACUGCCUGGGAAGCGGCUUUGCGUGUGCGCGGCGAGAGUAGCGGGGCCAUUGCCGGGCGUCUCAGGCGCCCGGGGCACCUCCGCCCUUCUUCCUGCCGCAGCUUCCUCGCGGCACUGGGAAGGGCGGCGGGAACGCAGGCGCUGCGCCGGGCGAAGGCCGCGGCCCUGCUCUCAUCCUCAGCAGUUGGGAGGCUGGGGCUGGGCUACACCGACCCGAGCGGGGGCCGGGCGCGGGCCAGGCUCCUCCCUCAUCUCCGGCUCCGUGGGCCGCGUGGCUGCCCCUUGGCAGGCUCUGCGGGGUCCCUGUCCCUGCCUGGGUAGUGUGCGCCCUUACCCUCCCGCCCCGCUUCAGGCCCUGCAGUUGAGAACACGGCGCCCUCGCCCCAGCCUGGUCCUCGCUCUAGAUCCCGACCCUGACGCAGCCUGGGGAAGCCUACAAAGCCCCUCUCAAAAUAUUUUUAGAUGAAUAAAAUAACAAGAUUAGGAAGGAAGGCUACUAUGGUAAAUAGUUGGCUGGUCGCGGGGCUCACGCCGGUUUUCCCAACAAUUUGGGAGGCCGAGGCGGGAGGAUCGCUUGAGCCUAGGAGUUGGAGACCAGCCUGGCCAACAUAGUGAGACCGUCUCUACAAAAACUUUUUUUUUUAAUUAGCCGGGCGUGGUGGAGCACAUCUGAGGGCCCAGCUACUCGGGAGCUGAGGCAGGAGGAUCCCUUAAGCCUGGGAAGUCAAGGCUGCAGUGAGCCGAGAUGGGUGCCACUUCACUCCAGCCUAGGCGACAGAGUGAGACUUGCAGAAGGAAAGAGAGAAAAGAAAUACAGUAACAGUUAAUAAAAUUCUUAACACACAUGUAAUAAUGUAUUUUACUCACACAUUAAAUAACAAGACUAAAG